rnacentral:sRNA from 1 species
ACGAACGGCGGAGGGAUCGUGCAUUUGCUCCAGCUUUCGCAGCUUUGUGAGAUUACUUCCUGUCAGUUACCCCCGUAGUUCAGUACUAACGAACGAACAAACGAACAAACGGGGGGGGGGGUUUCCUGGCUUGCUUUGUCUGUUUGUCUGCCCUUCACCCACUUCACUCUCCCUGCAUCCAUAGUAUCCAUGCGGGACGAAAUAUCUAUCAAGUGUCAGAACAGUUGAGAGACAAAGCUAGGAUCGAGCCCUGCCACUCAGCCCACAGCCACUCGCGCUUGAUUUUGAUUGAUGAUAUAAUGACCCAGAGGAUCGCGAUUGUGAUCAGGGAACAGGGUCAAAUAAAUAGAAUGAUGAUACAGAGACAUUUACAGUACAUAUACCAUAGAAGGUAGCUAGGAUGCUCAUAGAACACGCUACAAGAUACAUUAUGACUACAUAUGAUUCUUCCCUUUUCGCGCACUUUUUCGGUGCGGGCUUAAGUGUGUCGGGAUCGCGCGAUGUAUCUGAUUAUUGUGGAGAGGUGAUGAGUGGUGAUGGCCGUUCUCAGAAGUCGGAGAACUAAGGGGUCACGGGAGGUGGAAGAAUGGGCGGUGUCAGCCGCAUGCGGCUUUCCUUCUCUUGUCUCCUUCUGUCGCUUGUUUGUUGGAAGGGCGAGUUAGUUAGUUAGUGUUUUACCCUGCUUACCCCCCCCCUUUCCCCUUGCUAAUUAUACUUUGAUGGUCUUCCGUAUGAGGUUUUAAUGAGUUUUAAUGGGUUUUGAAAUCCGGGGUGAUGAAUGGAUCAAAGAAUGAAAAAAAAGAAAAAAAGAA